rnacentral:lncRNA from 1 species
CCAUAAUUGUUUGAGUGGUUUCGGCACCAAGUAGCGGUCAAUGCCACACUGAGAAGGUAAGUAAUCUAGUUGACUUGUUCACGCAGAUGAAUCCAAAAACUUGAAUUAGGUCCUUCUAGCUCUCAAGGUCGUUGACAAGUUAAAUCCUAUGUACGUUUUUAGGACUGCUUGGCAACGAAGAACCAACUAAUGAACGUUUCUUGUUGGUUUAAGAAUAAGGAAGGAUUGGUUUUUGGAACAUUUUUGACAACUAUAACUGAUUUGCCAUAUUUUGGGUAAAACAAACCCUUGCAUUUAUGAUCAAUUAUGUUAUUGGAGCGCGCUAAAUGUUGUGACCAUAUAAACCUUUAGUCUACAGUUUAAAAUGUUAUCAUUAUCG